UGCAAGUCGAACGGAUUUUCAUCAUAGCUUGCUAUGAUGAAAAUUAGUGGCAGACGGGUGAGUAAUGCAUAGGAAUCUACCUAGUAGUAUGGGAUAGCCACUAGAAAUGGUGGGUAAUACUGUAUAAUCCCUGCGGGGGAAAGAUUUAUCGCUAUUAGAUGAGCCUAUGUUAGAUUAGCUAGUUGGUAGGGUAAAGGCCUACCAAGGCAGUGAUCUAUAGCUGGUCUGAGAGGAUGAUCAGCCACACUGGAACUGAGAUACGGUCCAGACUCCUACGGGAGGCAGCAGUGGGGAAUAUUGGACAAUGGGCGCAAGCCUGAUCCAGCUAUGCCGCGUGAGUGAGGAAGGCCUUAGGGUUGUAAAACUCUU
rnacentral:rRNA from 1 species